AAUCAAAAGCAAAGUCAACUAAAUAAAUGCUUAAGUGAGUAGAUUCCAAGAAAUCACAAGUGCGUGUGCCGACACAUGUACAUAAAUUUAUACAUACAAAUGUAUGUAGGUACAUACGAGUGUCUGUGAGUAAGUGUGAGUGUGAGUGCGCGCGCGAGGUGCAAAAUAAAAUUCACUAGAAGUGGUAAAUAAAUGAAUAAAAUUGUAUACACAAAGUGAGCAGCGACAGCAGCAGCAGCAGCAAAAUGUUGUGAAGUUGCGGCGCAAAAAGAAAGACCGCGAAUAAAACAAGAAAGCAAAGAAAAAAAAAAUUGAAUUACGCCUGCAUCUAGGAAAGUGCGUCGUUUUAUUUUGAAAUCGAUACCAAAAUAAAAAUACACAAAAAGUGGGCCUCGUUCUACAUACAUACAUAUAAACAAUAAUAUAUACGAAUGUUUUCAUAUGCAUUCAUGUAGUGUUGUGGGCGUGUAUGUGUUCGUGUGCAAAGUGCAGCAUAAACAAACAAAAAUGGUUAACAAGAAUGCAAAAAAAGCUUUUAAAAGUGCAUCAUUAAAAUCAUUUUAAAAAUGUCCCGAGAAGUGUAAAAUGUGAGAAGAACACCAUUAUUUUAAAAGCAACUGACAACAAAAACAAAGAGAAGAAAAAAAGCAAAUGCAACGUAAGAGAGAGCAAAAUGAAAGAAAGAGUGUAACAACAAACAAAUUAAGAAAAGAUGAUAACCUAAAUAAAUAAAAUUACUAGUCAAAUAGUUUGGUGGAACAAGAGACGAAAUUCGGCGAAUCGAAUCAGAGAUCGGAUCGGAUCGGAUCGUAACGAAAAGAAACGAAACGAAGACAAGACGAAUCGUCCAACGGGUCGUCGCGACGAGUGCAUUUUCUGAGUUCCUAAGAAGAAAUAAAAGCCUUUCUCUCUUUAUCUUUUGCUGUUUUUGCCCUUUGAGCAGCUCUUUCUCUUUCUUGCAUUUUAAGCGUUUAACCGUUUUACAAUUGACACUUUGUUAUUAUCUACGCUUUCGCGAGAAGAGCCACGGCUUGGACAGGGAGCGAGAUAGAGAUA